GCAGUCGUCUCUGGGCUGAUUGGAAGAGGUAAUCAUUGUAUCUGCGGCCGGAGGAUUAGCAAAUAAACUUUUAUUGCUCCCUUUUUUGCGUCUGUGUGUGCGUGUCUUUGUGCGUGCGUGGGUGUGGGUGUGUUGAGCAAGAAGUCGGCUCUCAAGGGGGAAAAUCUUCUCAAUUUCCCUUCGCAGGUGCAGGUCAAGGAGGAAUUCAUGAGCAUUUUGCCUGAUCCAUGAACUGAUUAGAGAGGGGAAGCGAACCCCCUCCUCUUACCCUUCCUUUCCCAGUUUUGAGAUCAUUCCUUCCCCACCACCGCCGCCCUCCCGUCCUUCCCCUCCUCUUCCCCUUCCCCUUCUCCUGCAUGAAUGAAUGGAACUGUCUCCACGGUUUUCUUCGUCUUCUCGCCCUGGACUGGAGAAGUGAGGGGGGAUCUAUCUAUCCUCAUCCAUCUCUUUCUUGCUCCAUCCAUUCCCGAGGGAAUUUCAGACCGUGCAAUGUGUUCUCAGCCUCUUGACGCUGCUACCACUUGAUACUAUGUUACGCGCAGAGAGAGGGUUUUGCAAAAAUGGAUUUAUUCGAUUUUAAAGGAUUUCUUCUCUAAUAAGGUUCUCAUUGCACACAAAUAUGACUAAAUCCCCUAUUUGGUAAAUCUUUCUCUACCCCACCCCUCCUCUUUGGGUUCCCUCCCGCCCGCCCCCACCCCUUCAGAGGAGCAAGCACAGGGAGCUGAUGACGGACCCAUUAAUCCCUUCUUCAAUGCAUCAAAAGAAGCCGAAGGGCUGGAAGUCGCUGGGCUCGGAGUCCUGCAGGAAAUGCUUCGAUCUGCUUUUGGUUCUGUAUGAAACUGGUGACUAGGGGCUCGGCUCGCUCCGCCGCCGCCGCCCGCCGGCACCUGGAUGCGCGGGCCGCCGCCGCCGCCUUGCCCGCCGCCGCCGCGAUGCACCGCUCGUGGCGGUGCUGGUGAUCGCUCGGCUGUGAUGGGAUUGAGCCGGCGGUGAUCAUUUGAAGGCGGUGAGGGAGAGCCAGGGAGAGGAAGGGCUGCUCCGCUCUGCUGUGUGUGGGCUUCAGGAUUUUUUUCUUUUUCUUUUUUUUUUUUUUUUUCUCCUUCUUUUUCUUUUCCUACUUCCAUCCUCUCCCCGCCACUGGAAGUCCUCCCGUAUCUAAAUGGAAUUAGUGGAAACCGAAGCCCCUUGUGUAAGGAACAGACAUGACCCAUGGGCGCAGCUUCUUUCACAUUGUAGCAAGUCUAAUCAUCCUACAUUUGUCUGGGGCAACCAAAAAAGGAACAGAAAAGCAAACUACUUCCGAAGGACAGAGACCAGUGCAGUGUGGAACUUGGACAAAAUAUGCAGAAGGCGGUUUCUUCACUUCUCCAAAUUACCCCAACAAGUAUCCUCCGGACAGAGAGUGUGUCUACAUUAUAGAAGCUGCUCCUAGACAAUGCAUUGAACUACACUUUGAUGAAAAAUAUUCCAUAGAGCCUUCUUGGGAGUGUAAAUUUGACCACAUAGAAGUACGAGAUGGACCUUUUGGCUUUUCCCCAAUGCUUGGACGUUUCUGUGGACAGCAAAAUCCACCUAUGAUAAAAUCCAGUGGCAGAUUCCUGUGGAUUAAAUUUUUUGCUGAUGCUGAACUGGAAUCUAUUGGAUUUUCUGCUCGGUAUAAUUUUACACCUGAUCCAGAUUUUAAGGACCUUGGUGUUUUGAAGCCAUUGCCAGUUUGUGAGUUUGAGAUGGGAGGACCUGAAGGAAUUGUGGAAUCUGUACAAAUUGUUAAAGAAGGAAAAGCUUCUGAAACUGAAGCAGUAGACUGUAAAUGGUACAUCCGAGCACCACCCCGAUCCAAGAUCUAUUUGCGAUUCUUGGACUACGAGAUGCAGAAUUCCAAUGAAUGCAAAAGGAAUUUUGUAGCAGUCUAUGACGGAAGCAGCUCUGUGGAGGAUUUGAAGGCAAAGUUUUGCAGUACAGUUGCUAAUGAUGUAAUGCUGAGGACAGGUCUGGGUGUGAUCCGCAUGUGGGCAGAUGAGGGCAGCCGAAACAGCCGAUUCCAGAUGCUCUUCACAUCUUUCCAAGAACCCCCUUGUGAAGCCAACACAUUCUUUUGCCACAGUAAUAUGUGUAUAAAUAAUACACUGGUCUGCAAUGGACUCCAGAACUGUGUGUAUCCUUGGGAUGAAAACCACUGUAAAGAAAAAAGAAAAGCAAACCUAUUGGACCAACUUACCAAUACCAGUGGGACUAUAAUUGGGGUGACUUCUUGCAUUGUGAUCAUCCUCAUUGUUAUCUCUAUUAUAGUACAGAUCAAGCAGCCUCGUAAAAAAUUUGUCCAAAGGAAAACAGACUUUGAUCAAACAGUAUUCCAGGAGGUGUUUGAGCCUCCUCAUUACGAGUUAUGCACCCUUAGAGGGACAGGGACUACAGCUGACCUUGCUGACGUUGCAGAUGACUUUGAAAAUUAUCAUAAACUGCGGAGAUCCUCUUCAAAAUGCAUUCAUGACCAUCACUGUGGAUCACAAGUGUCUAGUAUUAAGGGCAGCCGUAGUAACCUCAGCACAAGAGAUGCUUCUGUCUUGACAGAAAUACAACCCCAGCCCGUAAAACCACUUGUUCAGCCCAUGAACAGGAGAAAUAUCCUUGUCAUGAAGCAUAGCUACUCACAAGAUGCUGCAGAUGCGUGCGACAUAGACGAAAUUGAAGAGGUGCCAACCACAAGUCACAGGCUGUCCAGGCAUGAUAAAGCUGUUCAGCGCCAUAACAUUCCAGGUUCUGCCUCAUUGGGUCUCUAAGCAAACAUGAGUCUGAGUACAACACAACUAGGGUCUAAGAGAAAAACCUGAGACUGCUUGAGAAUAGUGCGCUCCUGGGUGAUUUUGAACAUGCUACAAUGAAAUGUGAAACUAUCGUCCUUGGAAACACCAGCUAGAGGUUUUAUGGACUCUGACCAGCUAUUCUAUCAUGAAAAAAUUCAGCAGUGUUGAGUAAAUUUACUAGAAGGCAAUAAGACUUUGGUUAUUAUGCUUAUCAGUCAUUUCUCUUUUUCUUUUUCUCUCUUCUUUUUGUUGCAAGUAAAAUUCCCAAUUUCAGGAACAAUUUAUUGAAAUCAGGUAUUUAGCCAUUCAUAAUCACUUCAAUAGAAACGUUUGUUGGAUAAGCAUCUAGCAAUAUGACUGAAUUUGACAUUGAGAAAUUAAUCUGCAUGUAUGUUACUGAAUAUUUGAGUUGGCAAAAAUCCCUUUAUUAGAUACAUUGUAAAAAGCAUGCAUUCACAGUUAUUGCUGUUACUGUUCCAUUUCUGUGUCAUAUGCUUGCUACUUGUAACUUUUAUAUAAAAAUACAUAAAACAAUGUAUAAUGAUUUCGUACCUUGA